rnacentral:rRNA from 1 species
UGGGGAAUAUUGGACAAUGGGGGGAACCCUGAUCCAGCCAUGCCGCGUGUGUGAAGAAGGCCUUAUGGUUGUAAAGCACUUUAAGCGAGGAGGAGGGUACUGGUAUUAAUACUACCAGCUACUGGACGUUACUCGCAGAAUAAGCACCGGCUAACUCUGUGCCAGCAGCCGCGGUAAUACAGAGGGUGCGAGCGUUAAUCGGAAUUACUGGGCGUAAAGCGCGCGUAGGUGGUUCGUUAAGUUGAAUGUGAAAGCCCCGGGCUCAACCUGGGAACUGCAUCCAAAACUGGCGAGCUAGAGUAGGGCAGAGGGUGGUGGAAUUUCCUGUGUAGCGGAGAAAUGCGUAGAUAUAGGAAGGAACACCAGUGGCGAAGGCGACCACCUGGGCUCAUACUGACACUGAGGUGCGAAAGCGUGGGGAGCAAACAGG